UGGCAUUGAAUUAUAGUAUCCUCUACUUCUCACCUGUUAACAUGGCUCUAAAUCCACGAGUUGUUCCCUACUAGUAGCGCUUAAGUCACAGAAAAUUGCGCUGAAUUUGAUAACUUAUCAUGUAACCGACAACUGAGCAGCGAGGAUAGUGGGAACUGUUGUUAAAAUUCCGCCUGUUCACGUUUCUACAAAAAAUUGACUAUUAUGUCAGUCGGGCGGCAUACCUAUCUGUAACUAGCGCAGUCAUGAUGCUUCGGUAUGGCCAGCUAGCUAUCUCUCUGGCUAAAAUCGGUCGUCUUCAGCACUCUAACCAUUCAUUCAUUUGAUGUGACCAACGGGAUUUGCGAACCUGCGACGACCGAAAACGGGCCGCUCAGAUAAUAUCUGGGCUUCUUUUCCUUCAAUCGAAUAGGGCCAACAAUGUUCAAUUGCGUUUGUUACCGCAGUUGUCUGGCGGUAAGCACCCACACUUGAGCAUGGGCGCUAUUAUAAAUUUUAGAGAUCUUGAGGUAACGACUUCUCUCCAUUACGUGGCCAAGGACUGAGUCAUUGAAUACUCAAUAUAUCUCGGGCAGCCCGGUUACCGAGAAAGACGUGGGUUUGAGUGUUGAGAUUGAAAGGCGCAUCUACGCUGGUUAUUGAAAUUACGGAAUGUGAGAAGAAAUAUAAUAGAGAAGCAAAACAACAUAUACUCUACAUUGAUAAUGUGUGUUUUUCAAUAAUGGUUGGCCCAAAGAGCAAAUUUUAUGAAUUUGCGAGUUCCAUGUUUUCUCCCAAAGAUGAUCAUUUUCUUUUUCACAAGAUUUUAACUCACACAUAGCAAAAUCAAGGGUGAUAAUCAUCUUGGAAGGAAAGUUUAGAAAUAGCUCCCUCAAGGGCAAGGACAUAUUUGUCCUGUGUAAAUUUUGCGCAAUAGGGAAUAGGUAGAUAUGCAUUGUAGAA
rnacentral:sRNA from 1 species